rnacentral:rRNA from 1 species
CUGAAGCCGACAGCUUGCUGUUGGUGGAUGAGUGGCGAACGGGUGAGUAACACGUGAGUAACCUGCCCCUGAUUUCGGGAUAAGCCUGGGAAACUGGGUCUAAUACCGGAUACGACCAACCCUCGCAUGAGGGUUGGUGGAAAGUUUUUCGAUCGGGGAUGGGCUCGCGGCCUAUCAGCUUGUUGGUGGGGUAAUGGCCCACCAAGGCGACGACGGGUAGCCGGCCUGAGAGGGCGACCGGCCACACUGGGACUGAGACACGGCCCAGACUCCUACGGGAGGCAGCAGUGGGGAAUAUUGCACAAUGGGGGAAACCCUGAUGCAGCGACGCAGCGUGCGGGAUGACGGCCUUCGGGUUGUAAACCGCUUUCAGCAGGGAAGAAGCGAAAGUGACGGUACCUGCAGAAGAAGUACCGGCUAACUACGUGCCAGCAGCCGCGGUAAUACGUAGGGUACGAGCGUUGUCCGGAAUUAUUGGGCGUAAAGAGCUCGUAGGUGGUUGGUCACGUCUGCUGUGGAAACGCAACGCUUAACGUUGCGCGUGCAGUGGGUACGGGCUGACUAGAGUGCAGUAGGGGAGUCUGGAAUUCCUGGUGUAGCGGUGAAAUGCGCAGAUAUCAGGAGGAACACCGGUGGCGAAGGCGGGACUCUGGGCUGUAACUGACACUGAGGAGCGAAAGCAUGGGGAGCGAACAGGAUUAGAUACCCUGGUAGUCCAUGCCGUAAACGUUGGGCACUAGGUGUGGGGGACAUUCCACGUUCUCCGCGCCGUAGCUACG